AGAGUCUGAGCCCUGGGAGGCUCCUGCCCCUGCUGCACCUCAGCACCAGCUCCCUGCCCGCCCAAUCCCGCCUCCAGGGCACCGUCCUCCACAGCCAUUUGCCUGCUGCAGAGCUGGCCAAACAUGAAAAAAAGAUGAUGAUGUGUAUUUGAAUUGUAUAUUUAAUGCUUUGGGUUAUAUUUUGACUAUUUCAACAUCUUUUAAUGUUUUUAGCAUCUUCUUGAUGUUUUCCUCUCACUCAUUCACCCUUUUCCUGUUUUCUCCCGCCCAGCUCUAGCGAUGCGCAGCCAUUCCUGAAGUGCCAAGCAGUCACAGACUCCUAGAACAGUUUGGACUGGAAGGAGCCUUUAAAAACCACCCAGUCCAGCUCCCUUGAAAUGAGUAGGGACAUCUUCAACCAGAUCAGGUUGCUCAGAGCCCCAUCCAAUCUUUCCAGGCAUGGGGCAUCUCUCACCUCUCUGGCCAAGGUGCCAGUGUUUCACCACCCUCAUCAUAAAAAAUGUCUUCCUUAUGUCUAAUCUGAAUCUACUGUCUUUUAGUUUAAAACCAUUACCUCUCAUUCUCUCCGUUACACGUUUAUAUAUUUUCUAAUUAUCCCUAUCUACUCAGUCUGGUUCAUAUAACUGAGCUUUCUGUAUGAUUUUCUCUCAAUCCUGCCAGUAUCUCCUCAUCCUUUCUCUGCAUUGUAUUUUUCUUUAGUUGACCGUUUCCUUCCAUUUUUCCAUGUGCUGCCUCCUCUCAUUCUUACCUACUCACGUCCUUCCCUCCUGCCACCCCCAGCUUCCUCUUCUGAAUCCACUGAAGUGUAAUCUAAAACAUACUGCAUGAAAGUGGAAGCCCAGAGAAAUAUUUGCUCUGGCUCUCGCUAGCACCUCACAAUGCCAGUGAGCUCUGAGACAGUGGAUUCUCAACGCUGCAGUAAAACGAGCCUUUCCCGUAAGCUUAAAAUUCAAGUCUUUCUUACAGGCUACAGUCAGAAUGAUUGUCAGCUCAGAAAGUACCUUUUAACUAAUUCAAAGGAUCGCAUUCAGAGCAGGCUUUUGAGUUUCCAGCAUGAUAAAACUAAUUACAAUUACCAGCCUGUUACUGAAACAGAAAACAUCCAGAAUGCCACAAUAUUUGAAGUUGUAUUUUAAGGAACAAACAUUCCAGAUCAGAGAAAAAAGCUUCAAAGUCCAAAGUGAUUGUCGUUUUAAACAGACUUAAUUGCUUGUAAGAUAAAUGAGAAUGAAGAACUAAGGGAAGGAGAGAGCCUUGCAGAUAAUCCACAUGGAGAAUGUGAUCUGCCAUGGCAAAUGAGCUUUGUGUGAUCCAGCACUGAAUCACCUCAAAUUACCAACCCGCCUGCCCAAAUGCCACCACCUACCAACUGACUGACUUGGCUUGUAGCGUGCGGGGGAGACCGAGAGGCCCCAGUUCAGGUGCUGAUGGGAUAAUGAAUAUUACUGCUGGCUACCAAGAGCAACUCUUCAAAGCUCUUCUGGUGUUUGUUCAUCCUCGUAGUUGCAUUAAUCAUCUCAUCCUUAGCCAGAUGAAAUGCAGAGUUUUGCAGCCGUGCUGGGUGUAUCGCUCAGCCCUAUGGGAGCAAAUAAUCCCAGUUCUGGGAAAACCUUUGGUUGCUUGCCAGCGGUGUGUAGCCCUCCUUGGGUGGGGAGGGAGAUCCUGGUGAUAUGUGAGAUUGAGCUGCUCUGUGCAGUUCUUUUCCAGCUAGCUUGAAAAGUCUACUUCUUCCUCUGGAAGGCUUUUUUUUUCUGGAAACAAGUUAUUGUAAAUAACUGACCCAUUAGAGCCUCAGCUUGUUCCACUCUCUGAUGGAGGUGAUCUCCAUGGGUGCACUUUGCUAGUCUGAUUCUUGCUAUAUGUGUUUUUUGCCAUCAGGUCCAGCCAAAAUUCCUUACCUGAUGUAUCUCACCAGGACCCAGAGACUCCCCGUUGCGGGUAGAUGCAGCAGCAAGAGGUUAACUUCACUUUCCUGAAGGUCGUUAACAUUUGGUGCUCUCUGGUCCUCAUGCUCUGCUGUGUAUCCAACCCCAACACCUUGGCACAAACCUUGAUUUGGAGGAACUUUUUGCUGCUGCUAUUCCAGAGAAUAAAUUAAUCUGAGGAAAAUUGCAGUAUUGAUGCACUACAGUUUUCACCCAUUUGCCUUUUUUCCCCUACUCUCUCGAAUUCCACUCUUAAUCCAGUUGAUGCCAAGCAUAAGGCUCGCAGGAUGCUGGUUCUAGGCUUCAGGUCCUGCUCUGUGAUGCAGCUAAAAUAUAGCCGUGGCAAGGCUUGUUGGCAAAGCCACAUACCCUAAGACCAUCUAAUGCAACCGGAAAAAAGAGUAUUGUGAAAUAUUGAAACAGCUGUGGAAAAUGGAAAUGUCUUUCCUAAAGCAGAUUCAGG